AAGUCGUAACAAGGUUUCCGUAGGUGAACCUGCGGAAGGAUCAUCAUUGUAGGAGUGAGGUCCCUUUUUUUUGAGGCCUUAACAACCUUUUUAGAGUCCCAGCAAACAGACAGCAAGGGGGAGCAAUUGGCUGAGAUAGGGAGCGAGGGAAACAAGAAACAACUUUCAACAACGGAUCUCUUGGCUCUCA
rnacentral:misc_RNA from 1 species